GCGGCUAACGCAUGAAGUCGAGCGAACUUUUGGGAGCUUGCUCCCAAAAGUUAGCGGCGGACGGGUGAGUAACACGUGGGCAACCUGCCUAUAAGACUGGGAUAACUUCGGGAAACCGGAGCUAAUACCGGAUCAUUCUUUUCUACACAUGUAGGAAAGCUAAAAGACGGUUUACGCUGUCACUUAUAGAUGGGCCCGCGGCGCAUUAGCUAGUUGGUGAGGUAACGGCUCACCAAGGCCACGAUGCGUAGCCGACCUGAGAGGGUGAUCGGCCACACUGGGACUGAGACACGGCCCAGACUCCUACGGGAGGCAGCAGUAGGGAAUCUUCCGCAAUGGACGAAAGUCUGACGGAGCAACGCCGCGUGAGUGAUGAAGGUUUUCGGAUCGUAAAACUCUGUUGUUAGGGAAGAACAAGUACGAGAGUAACUGCUCGUACCUUGACGGUACCUAACCAGAAAGCCACGGCUAAC
rnacentral:rRNA from 1 species